rnacentral:lncRNA from 1 species
CUUAUGCAACGGAAAUCUGGGACAAUGGUUGGGACCGAUCUUCAAUGAUGCAGUUUAUGCAAUAUGGGGUUUCUGACUGGGUCCAAAACUGUACUAUUUUGGUGAAUGAGUGCUUUCAGGAUAGCAGUCCUCUUCAGGUUUUAAUGAUCACUAUAUGGUGUAUCUGGAAAUGGAGGAAUGAAUUCAUUUUUCAAGGUGUUAAAGCUGUCUCUUCCAGCGCGCUUAAGCAUGCUGCGGGGUCAGAUCAGUUCCAAUAUCUCAG